UAGUAAAGGCUGCUACAGACAUGAAGGC
rnacentral:piRNA from 1 species